GCUCAGGAUGAACGCUGGCGGCGUGCCUAACACAUGCAAGUCGAACGAAGCGAUUCAACGGAAAUUUUCGGAUGGAAGUUGAAUUGACUGAGUGGCGGACGGGUGAGUAACGCGUGGGUAACCUGCCUUGUACUGGGGGACAACAGUUAGAAAUGACUGCUAAUACCGCAUAAGCGCACAGUAUCGCAUGAUACAGUGUGAAAAACUCCGGUGGUACAAGAUGGACCCGCGUCUGAUUAGCUAGUUGGUAAGGUAACGGCUUACCAAGGCGACGAUCAGUAGCCGACCUGAGAGGGUGACCGGCCACAUUGGGACUGAGACACGGCCCAAACUCCUACGGGAGGCAGCAGUA
rnacentral:rRNA from 1 species